rnacentral:rRNA from 1 species
GACGAACGCUGGCGGUGUGCUUCACACAUGCAAGUCGAACGAGGUAGCAAUACCUAGUGGCGGACGGGUGAGUAACGCGUGGGAAUCUGCCUUUAGAUGGGGGAUAACGGGUCGAAAGACUCGCUAAUACCGCAUAUGACGAAAGUUGAAAGGAGUAAUCCGUCUAAAGAUGAGCCCGCGUCCGAUUAGCUAGUUGGUAGAGUAAAAGCCUACCAAGGCGACGAUCGGUAGCUGGUCUGAGAGGAUGAUCAGCCACAAUGGGACUAGAGACACGGCCCAUACUCCUACGGGAGGCAGCAGUGGGAAUUUUACGCAAUGGGCGAAAGCCUGACGUAGCGACACCGCGUGAGCGAAGAAGCCCCUUGGGUGUAAAGCUCUGUCAGCUGGAACGAAAAAAAUGACGGUACCAGCAGAGGAAGCAUCGGCUAACUACGUGCCAGCAGCCGCGGU